GUGCUGCUCCAGUGGUCACAACCCAACAGAAAAGUCCCUCUGCUGUGGAUGGCUUGGCCUUGCUCUGCAGAGGAAUGCCAUGGAGUCAGCUUCCUGAUUUUUCACACCUGAGCAGGAGAGGAUGGACAGUCCUGGAUCAGCCCCUCGGUGCCGACAGCGCUUCCUGUGGAGAUCAGAGCAAUGAACAACUGGGCACUGCUGGAGCAGCAGGGAAACCUCUCCUGGGGCAUGUGGAGAGUGGCUCAUUGUCAGCUGCCACCACUUCCCAGAUUCCCAAACCACUCUGAGUUAUUUGGGAUGCAACUACAGAAGCCCUGAGAGUCUGAGAGAUCUCCAAGUCUUGGGCCCCUGAAGACUUGGAAAAAGACCUGAAGUUUCUGACUGGCAUUGAACCAGACAGAUGGGAGAUGAUGCUGUGUAAGAGGAGGCCUUGCUCCACUUGACCUGCAAGAGCUGCUCCAGGAGGACAAUCCAGUUCCACCAGGAACACCGAGGGACACAGGAUGUCACAGCAGCAGCAGCAGGACCCACUCCAGCCCCACUGGAUUUCGGCUUCCUGGUUGUCCUGGCUCUUGGAAAACCUUUCAGCCCCCCAUGGCACACCUGGCUCCUGGGAAAUGCUCUGGAAGGAUGGAUGGACUGCUGCAGUGGGGGUGGAAUCACAGGCAGGAAUAAAGGCAAAAGAAGGGAAAUCUUUCUCUGGGAAUCCCCAUCCCUGGAAGUGUCCAAGGCCAGGCUGGAAGGGGCCUGGAGCAGCCUGGGCUAGU